UAUCCUCCCUGGUUUCAUCCAGCACCUCCUGCUGCCUCCCUAGCCUGUGCCUCCAGUUGGCUGCUCCAACACCAGUCGAGAAAGACAAUGACAGGAGAGGGAAUUACUGAAGAACAGCAUGAACAGUUCAAGCUGAUUGCAGAAAACUACCAUAAAGCUGCAGCCAGAAAGGCUCAUGUGCCUCAUGGGCUUUGCUGCCCAGGAUGGCAUCAAGUUACCUUGGCAGAACUUGGAAAAGUACACCUGGGAAAGCUGGAAGAAGGCCCCAUUGUGAAAAUAUAAGUUAAAAAUGUGCCCAGACAUUCCCU